rnacentral:rRNA from 1 species
UACAGAGGUCCCAAGCGUUGUUCGGAUUCACUGGGCGUAAAGGGCGCGUAGGCGGCAAUUCAAGUCAUCUGUGAAAUCUCCGGGCUUAACUCGGAACGGUCAGAUGAUACUGCUUUGCUAGAGUGCGGAAGGGGCAAUCGGAAUUCUUGGUGUAGCGGUGAAAUGCGUAGAUAUCAAGAGGAACACCUGAGGUGAAGACGGGUUGCUGGGCCGACACUGACGCUGAUAGCGCGAAAGCCAGGGGAGCAAACGGG